rnacentral:rRNA from 1 species
CCUUACGGGAGCCAGCAGUGGGAAUCUUGACAAUGGGCGCAAGCCUGAUCCAGCCAUGCCGCGUGAGUGAUGAAGGCCUUAGGUUCGUAAAGCUCUUUCGCCAGAGAUGAUAAUGACAGUAUCUGGUAAAGAAACCCCGGCUAACUCCGUGCCAGCAGCCGCGGUAAUACGGAGGGGGUUAGCGUUGUUCGGAAUUACUGGGCGUAAAGCGNNCGUAGGCGGAUUAGUCAGUUAGAGGUGAAAUCCCAGGGCUCAACCCNGGAACUGCCUUUAAUACUGCUAGUCUUGAGUUCGAGAGAGGUGAGUGGAAUUCCGAGUGUAGAGGUGAAAUUCGUAGAUAUUCGGAGGAACACCAGUGGCGAAGGCGGCUCACUGGCUCGAUACUGACGCUGAGGUNCGAAAGUGUGGGGAGCAAACAGGAUUAGAUACCCUGGUAGUCCACACCGUAAACGAUGAAUGCCAGUCGUCGGGUAGCAUGCUAUUCGGUGACACACCUAACGGAUUAAGCAUUCCGCCUGGGG